rnacentral:rRNA from 1 species
CCUACGGGAGGCAGCAGUGAGGAAUCUUGCGCAAUGGGGCAACCCUGACGCAGCGACGCCGCGUGAGCGAAGAAGGCCUUCGGGUCGUAAAGCUCUGUCAGAUGGGAAGAAAAUUCUGCUUGCGAAUAACAGGCAGAAUUGCCGGUACCAUCAAAGGAAGCACCGGCUAACUCCGUGCCAGCAGCAGCGGUAAUACGGAGGGUGCAAGCGUUGUUCGGAAUUACUGGGCGUAAAGCGCGUGUAGGCGGUCUAACAAGGCAGAUGUAAAAUCCCUUGGCUCAACCAAGAAAGGGCAUUUGAAACUGCUAGACUUGAGUACGGGAGGGGGAAGCGAAAUUCCCGGUGUAGAGGUGAAAUUCGUAGAUAUCGGGAGGAACACCGGUGGCGAAGGCGGCUUCCGGGACCGAUCCUGACGCUGAGACGCGAAAGCUUGGGGCGCAAACAGGAUUAGAUCCCCCUGUAUU